UACGUAGGGUGCGAGCGUUGCCCGGAUUUAUUGGGCGUAAAGGGCGCGUAGGCGGCCACGCACGUCCGUUGUGAAAUCGCCCGGCUCAACUGGGCGGGGUCAGCGGAUACGGUGUGGCUCGAGCAAGCUAGGGGGCAAUGGAAUUCCCGGUGUAGUGGUGGAAUGCGUAGAUAUCGGGAGGAACACCAGUGGCGAAGGCGGUUGCCUGGAGCUUUGCUGACGCUGGGGCGCGAAAGCGUGGGGAGCGAUCCGG
rnacentral:rRNA from 1 species